AGAUGUGUCUACAGGGAGGACUUCUCCAGCUCCUACCUUGGAUGCUGCACUCAAGCCCAGCUCCCGUCACAGGGGUGCUCCAACAGGGAAAAUCCAAGAUACAACAGAUAAGAUAUCCCUGGAACCAUCCAAACAGAUGAGGCAAGAGCUGAAGGAACUCCUGCAGACAAGACAAGGAGCACCUCUGGACAGGAGUUGGAAGACGGUGGCUGCACCUCACACCCAGACAGCGUGAGCUGCUCCUCCCACAGUAAUAACGGCCUGGACAGCCCUCUCAACUGUUCUGUGAAGGGAACCCAAGAACA